GGUGGCUGCCCCAAAAAGAAUGGUACUUCAUAAAUGUAUAUUUAAUUUAAAUUGUUCGGGCGCCAGACAAGCAAAACUUGUCAAGAAAAUAAAAUAUUUGUUUAUUUAUUUAUUUAUAAUGCGUAACUAAUUUCGGUUUCCCCGUAAAUAGCUCAAGCCACUGUUACACAACAACAGAAAGGUUUCCAAAAAAAACUACAUGAAGUUAAAUUUUCAUACCAUUUGUAUUUUUUUCCGUUACUUCACAUAACAAAUGACAGAAGAAACGUGUAAACAGAAAGUAACAAUAUUGCGGUUCAAGUUCAAUUCAAGAUUUCAUAAACAAUCACAAAAUCACGAGAGUCCUUGAUUCACAAGUGUCUUAAAGUUCGUUUUCCUCUUUAAAGUUCUUUUCUUUUUACAUGUUCAAUUUUAAUCAAAGGGAAAAAAAAAACAAGAGAGAAGAAAAAAAAACACAACAAAGAAAACUAAAUAAUCCCAACGAGUGUUUGUGUAUGGGUGUAUGCGUGUGCAAUGAGAGUAUGUGUGUGUGUGUGUGUGUGUGUGUGUGUGUGUGUGGUGGCUGUGGGAAGUCCGUGUUGCGGCCGCUAAUCCCGGGCCGGGGACAGGGUACGUGAGGUUAACAAAUGAUGGACAACAUCACUAGUACCUGAGGCAGGCGAACGAACCAGUCUGGAUUGUGUAUCCCCAGGCAGGCGACCGAACCAUGUAGUAGAGCUCAAUUUCUCCGACACUUCGGCGAUCGCACCCAGUCAGCGCAUGCACAGAUUCCAGCACAAAACAGCAACGACCUUCAGGUAGCGUGCGUCCCAUUCCAAUACAACCUACACGUGUGUUUUGUCUUUACUUCCCUCUCUUUCACUUCCGUUUCUAAACUCACUUUUAUAUUAAAUUUCCUUCAUUGAUUUCCGCCCAUUAGAAAAAGUGAAAAGCUGGCAUGGAUUUCUUCCAAAUCGCCACACUCUCCCUCCCUGGAGAAAACAACCUAUGGUUGUUGAAAUAUUAAUCAUAUUUAAAAUCCAAUGAAUUCCUCAUCAUCAGACGAUUCAUUGAAUAUUUGGCAGAGUCUUUUCUUCUCCUGGCUUUCCAGCUCUUCAGCCGUGGGAAAGCAUGGUUUCAGGUUGCACACAUGCACUAUGCGAACAUCUUCGCCAGUGGACUCUAGCGCUACUCGAUAAUUCAAUGGACCCAUCUGCUUUAUGACACGGUAGGGGCCUUUCCAUUUCUGAGCCAAUUUUGCAGUGAAGUGAUGUUGUGCACUAGACUGGGGAAAAGUCCUCAUCCACACACGAUCCUUUUCCUUGUAUGUAACCUCUCGUCUUUUUUUAUUAUAAUUCCGAAGCUGUCUCUUUUGUGCUUUUUUGCAGCAUUCCAUGGCCUUGGUCUGAAGCUCAGUUAGAUGGUGGACUGUAUCGUAAGAUAGACAAUCUGGAGUUAUAUUCUUGCCAUGUAACAACUUGUCCAUGGGACUUUGCAGUUUCCUUCCCAAAUGAAGCUCUGCAGGGGUCAUCCCAAUCGUUUCCUGGACAGCUGAAUUAAUAGCGAAACGGAGUUCAGAAUGAAGUCCGGUACCCCCCAACGGGUUAGAAUUUCCUUCCGAAGAAGUAAUGCAACAGUCUGAGCUUUAGCGUUGCGCAUGGGAAAACAUUCCACCCACCGGGAGUAAUAGUCUACAACGACUAAGAGGUACUCAUUUUGCUGUGUGCUGCGUGGCAUUGGGCCCAUAAUGUCCACUCCAAGCAUCUCGUUGGAAUGGGUGGUGGUGACUUGUUGUAGUUUGCCCACAGGUUUCUGAUUUUCUCCCUUAAGAGUCUGGCAUUUGACACAUUUUUUAACAUGGUGUUUUAUGUCAGUCCACAUUCCAGGCCAGAAUGCAACAUCAUGGAUACGCUUGUAGGUCUUAUAAAUACCUACAUGACCGCUCCAGGGAUUUGCGUGGUAGUGGUGUAGAAUGGACGACACAAGGCUGUUAGGAAUGUACACUCUGUAAUGAACUUGACUGUUUGGCAGAUUGUGGCUGGAGACAUCGGAAACUCAGCAUUCUCCUGCUGGUCUUGGUUGGUGUACAGGUUACAGCUGGUACGAAUCCGAGACAGAGCAUCAGGUGCCAUAUUUAGUUUUCCUUUGCGAUAUUCAAUGAUAAAAUCAAAUCUCUGAAGUCGCAAGGCCCACCGGAUAAGGCGACUCUUGGUUUUUGUGGAAGAAAUUACCCAUUGUAAGGCUGAGUGGUCUGUGAUGACGGUGAACAAUUUGUGCUCUAGGUAGUGCUGCCAUUUUUCCAGGGCCCAAAUUACAGCCAAACACUCUUUUUCGGUGGCUGUAUAAUUGGUCUCCGCUUUGUUCAGGGUUCUGCUGGCAUAAGCAAUAACUUGUUCUAAACCCUUUUCCUUGCGCUGGGUCAGCACAGCACCCAAACCAGUGUCACUGGCAUCAGUGUAAACAGUAAAAGGCAAUUGAAGGUCCGGAUGGCCAAGAAUGGGAGGAGAGUGCAUUGAUGGGUUCAGCGAUCCUGGAGAAGUUUGGUACAAACCGGUGGUACCACCCGGCUAACCCCAGGAAGCGCUGGACCUCCUUGAUGUUGGUGGGCACAGGGUAUUCCCGUAUAGCCUCCACUUUACUUGGGUCUGCAGCUAUGCCUUGGACGUUGACAAUGUGUCCCAGAAAGGUUAUUUCUUUAAGACAGAACUUGCUUUUUUUUAAAUUAAUGGUGAGGCCAGCCAUUUGCAGUUUAUGGAGGACAGCCUGGAGGUCGGAGAAGUGCUGGGCUACAGAUGGUGAGUAAAUAAUUAUGUCGUCAAUGUAGACAAAGCAGAUGUUUCCACGCAAUUCUCCUAGAACAGUCUCCAUUAGUCUUUGGAAGGUUGCUGGGGCAUUUUUUAACCCAAACGGCAUAACAUUAAACUGAAACAAUCCUGAUGGAGUUGUGAAAGCAGUUUUUGGUUUACUUUCUUGAUCCAUGUUCACCUGCCAGUAGCCACUGUUAAGGUCAAUCGUGGAAAAGAUGGCGGCUCCAGAUAGUGACUCUAAGAUCUCAGUGAUGUUGGGUAAAGGGUAAGCAUCAUUCUCUGUAAUGGCAUUAACUUUCCUGUAGUCCACACAAAACCUGAGGCUUCCGUCUUUUUUAGGGACCAAGACGACAGGUGAGGCCCAUCCAGAAUGUGAUGGUUCUACGAUGCCGGCAGUCAACAUCUCUUCCAGUUGCUCUGUAAUGACAGCUUGUUUGGCAGGUGUUGUACGGUACGGUCUUUGUUUUAUAGGCACUUGGUGGGUAGUAUAUAUGUGAUGCUGUGUAACUUCGGUACGUCCCAGGCGAAGGGUACAAACUUGAGGGUUUGACUCGAGGAUCUGCAGUAACUGUUGCUUUCCUUCCGGAGGUAAGUGGGCAUGCUGUACAGCAGUGUCAAUUAGGGUCUUGUCAUCCAGAUAGGCUGGUUGAACCAUGUUAAGUUGAGGAGGAGGAACAGAAGAUAGUAGAGAGAGACUGUUGGAGUUUUUACUUCCAAUCUUUCCCUUUGGAUGUUGGGAGCUGAUAACUGGUACACUGGCAUUUGUUGGCUGGAAAGGAUAAUACUCUUUAGGAUUGGACUGAAAUGAAUACUUUUGAUCUGCAACAUUGAUCUGCAGCCCACUGGAAAAGAUAAGGUCCAGUCCUAACACGACUGCAUAGGCCAGGGCUUUGGCUGAUAGAACCACAGCAGAUAUGGUGAAUAUUUUUUUAUGUAGGGUAAUUGGCAAGUUUACCCAACCUAAAGGAAUUUCUGCUUCCCCAUUGGCGAGGUAGAGUGGACCCUGGGUCCAUGGAUUGAGUUUUUGUGAAGAGAGUUCCUUCCAGAGAUUCUCAUGUAGAAGGGUGUAGCUAGCCCCAGUAUCAACAAUGGCUUUUCCUUUCCAGGUACCAAUACAGAGUGGUAUCACUAACUGUUGUGGAACAAUUUCAGUAGGUGGUGUUUUCUUACCAGUUGUGGGUGACUUCUGAGGAAAGGUGGCAGACACAGAGCGAUUGCCAGGUGGACCAGUACCUUUAGAAGCUGGAAAUGUUGUCCGCUUGCUAUUAGAGGAAAGGUGUUUGCUGGUGGACUGAGGUGACUGGGACUGAGAAGAGACAAAGUGAGGACAGUGGCCAGGGGAGUGAUGGCCUUUACAUCGCCAGCAUUGCACUAAAGGCUUCUCUGCCGGGUGGUUGGCAAUAGGUCUUUGAGGCAUGGAUAAGGGUUGCUUAGAACUCACACGUUUUUCAUAUUGCAGUUGUUGUUCGUAGUCUUUUUCCAGCUGUUGGCCCAGUUUCACAAGUUCAUCGACUGUGUUCACCCGACUGCGAAUCUGGCUUGCAAGAUAGGGGUUCAUAUUUUUUAAAAUCAUUUUCACCAAUUCACUGUCCGUCAAGGAGGGCUUCCACCUUUUGCAGAGAGCUCUGUAUGUAAAUGCAAAGUCUCUAAUGCUCUCUCUUUCUCCCUGUGUUCGUGUCCUUACCCGUUCAGCCAACUCAUCUUCAUAAUCCUCUGAGAGGAAAGCAGAGAGGAAAGCAGCUUCAAAUUCUUCCCACGUGGUUAUUGAGGAUCGUGCAACUUCCCACCAGUCCCGGGCAGUACCGUAAAGGACAGUGCGGAAAGUGGCCAGAAUGUCAGCAUCAGUAAGAGGAUGUAACGCUAAGAAAUCCUGACAUCGAGUUAGAUAGAGCAAGGGGUCCAUGUCAUCUGACUGUCUCCCAAAAGUAGGAAAUGUAAUCUUAAGAUGAUCACUCUUUACAACAGGAGCAGGAAGCAAAGGAGCGGUCACUGGUGAUACAGCUGAAACUGGAGCGUUAAGAGGCAAAGGAGUUGAUAGGAUACCAGGCAAGUCCUGCUGUGCCGCCGAAGACUGAGAUGAAGGGUCAAGUAAUGUACAUAUCUGCAUAGAGUCGCCAUUCGGUUCCUCCUCCCAGAUGAAGGGUUGAACAGGAGUACUGCCAGCUAGUGGUGAAGUUGCAAACCGCACCUGGGUUCCUGGUACAUCAGUGGUGCUGGCUUGAGUAGGAGUGACAUGGAGAGGAACACGAGAGAGUCCAGGUGGAGAAAGUAGAGGACGAGGUGCUGGAGGCCAGACUGGGGUAGCAACAUCGGGUGCCGGUGGUUCAAUCUCCACAAAAGUGGAUGGAGAGAGAGGAGUGGUAGCCAUGUUUGAUUGUCAAUGUAUGUGUAGUCAGUGUAAAAAUGUAGUGAAAUGUACGUUGAGUGAAAAAAAACAAACAACAAUGUACAAAUGUUUGAAAAAAAUAAAUUGGAACAGAAUACUCUAACAGUUCAGUGUGAAAUGUCUGUCCAGUUGUCCAAUUCACACUACAAUUCCCUUAAUUUCACAAACAAUAAUAAGAUUUCAAUAACACAAAUGAUUAUUUCCCCAGCUUUCACAUUAAUUAGGUCAAUCAGUAUAGCAGCAAGACAACUAAGGGGUAACAAUUAUAUAUUUAACAACGUGUAAGUUCAUGAACAAAAAAAAAAAUCUUCCCACAAAACCCUUCAAUAAAGAAAACUGUUUCAGUUCAGUAUACAUUUCACAAACACAAAAAUAUGCAGUUUUAAGUAACAAUAACCAACACUCAAGUAAUCCUUUAGGGAAACUAUAAUUCAAAGUUCCAGUGACCCGUUUAAGUGGUCACGAUCUAAAUGUUUAAGUUUCAAGUCGUCCAGGUUUAUCAAAGCGUUUAAUUUUCAGGUCCCUGUUCGGGCGCCAUUUAUGUAACGGUGGCUGCCCCAAAAAGAAUGGUACUUCAUAAAUGUAUAUUUAAUUUAAAUUGUUCGGGCGCCAGACAAGCAAAACUUGUCAAGAAAAUAAAAUAUUUGUUUAUUUAUUUAUUUAUAAUGCGUAACUAAUUUCGGUUUCCCCGUAAAUAGCUCAAGCCACUGUUACACAACAACAGAAAGGUUUCCAAAAAAAACUACAUGAAGUUAAAUUUUCAUACCAUUUGUAUUUUUUUCCGUUACUUCACAUAACAAAUGACAGAAGAAACGUGUAAACAGAAAGUAACAAUAUUGCGGUUCAAGUUCAAUUCAAGAUUUCAUAAACAAUCACAAAAUCACGAGAGUCCUUGAUUCACAAGUGUCUUAAAGUUCGUUUUCCUCUUUAAAGUUCUUUUCUUUUUACAUGUUCAAUUUUAAUCAAAGGGAAAAAAAAAACAAGAGAGAAGAAAAAAAAACACAACAAAGAAAACUAAAUAAUCCCAACGAGUGUUUGUGUAUGGGUGUAUGCGUGUGCAAUGAGAGUAUGUGUGUGUGUGUGUGUGUGUGUGUGUGUGUGUGUGGUGGCUGUGGGAAGUCCGUGUUGCGGCCGCUAAUCCCGGGCCGGGGACAGGGUACGUGAGGUUAACAAAUGAUGGACAACAUCACUAGUACCUGAGGCAGGCGAACGAACCAGUCUGGAUUGUGUAUCCCCAGGCAGGCGACCGAACCAUGUAGUAGAGCUCAAUUUCUCCGACACUUCGGCGAUCGCACCCAGUCAGCGCAUGCACAGAUUCCAGCACAAAACAGCAACGACCUUCAGGUAGCGUGCGUCCCAUUCCAAUACAACCUACACGUGUGUUUUGUCUUUACUUCCCUCUCUUUCACUUCCGUUUCUAAACUCACUUUUAUAUUAAAUUUCCUUCAUUGAUUUCCGCCCAUUAGAAAAAGUGAAAAGCUGGCAUGGAUUUCUUCCAAAUC